rnacentral:rRNA from 1 species
UACGUAGGGGGCAAGCGUUAUCCGGAUUUAUUGGGUUUAAAGGGUGCGUAGGCUGUUUGGAAAGUCAGGGGUGAAAGCCCGGCGCCUAACGCCGGAACUGCCUUUGAUACUUCCGAGCUGGAAUACGGAUGCCGUGGGAGGAAUGAGUAGUGUAGCGGUGAAAUGCAUAGAUAUUACUCAGAACACCGAUUGCGAAGGCAUCUCACGGAUCCGUCAUUGACGCUGAGGCACGAAAGCGUGGGGAUCAAAC